rnacentral:rRNA from 1 species
AUGCACGCUGGCGGCGUGCCUCAUCCCUGCCAGUCGAGCGAACGGACGAGAAGCUUGCUUUUCUGAUGUUAGCGGCGGACGGGUGAGUAACACGUGGAUAACCUACCUAUAAGACUGGGAUAACUUCGGGAAACCGGAGCUAAUACCGGAUAAUAUUUUGAACCGCAUGGUUCAAAAGUGAAAGACGGUCUUGCUGUCACUUAUAGAUGGAUCCGCGCUGCAUUAGCUAGUUGGUAAGGUAACGGCUUACCAAGGCAACGAUGCAUAGCCGACCUGAGAGGGUGAUCGGCCACACUGGAACUGAGACACGGUCCAGACUCCUACGGGAGGCAGCAGUAGGGAAUCUUCCGCAAUGGGCGAAAGCCUGACGGAGCAACGCCGCGUGAGUGAUGAAGGUCUUCGGAUCGUAAAACUCUGUUAUUAGGGAAGAACAUAUGUGUAAGUAACUGUGCACAUCUUGACGGUACCUAAUCAGAAAGCCACGGCUAACUACGUG